rnacentral:misc_RNA from 1 species
GAUGAAGAACGUAGCGAAAUGCGAUAAGUAAUGUGAAUUGCAGAAUUCAGUGAAUCAUCGAAUCUUUGAACGCACAUUGCGCCCGCCAGUAUUCUGGCGGGCAUGCCUGUUCGAGCGUCAUUUCAACCAUCAAGCCCCCGGCUUGUGUUGGGGACCUGCGGCUGCCGCAGGCCCUGAAAAGCAGUGGCGGGCUCGCUGUCACACCGAGCGUAGUAGCAUACAUCUCGCUCUGGGCGUGCUGCGGGUUCCGGCCGUUAAACCACCUUCAUAACCCAAGGUUGACCUCGGAUCAGGUAGGAAGACCCGCUGAACUUAAGCAUAUCCAUAAGCGGAGGA